AGACGCGAACGCUAGGGCGGCAGGCCUAAUACAUGCAAGUCGAGCGCCCCUUCGGGGGAGCGGCGGACGGGUGAGUAACGCGUGGGAAUGUGCCCUUUGGUACGGAACAACUGAGGGAAACUUCAGCUAAUACCGUAUGUGCCCUUCGGGGGAAAGAUUUAUCGCCAUUGGAGCAGCCCGCGUUGGAUUAGGUAGUUGGUGAGGUAAAGGCUCACCAAGCCUACGAUCCAUAGCUGGUCUGAGAGGAUGAUCAGCCACACUGGGACUGAGACACGGCCCAGACUCCUACGGGAGGCAGCAGUAGGGAAUCUUGCGCAAUGGGCGAAAGCCUGACGCAGCCAUGCCGCGUGAAUGAUGAAGGUCUUAGGAUUGUAAAAUUCUUUCACCGGGGAAGAUAAUGACGGUACCCGGAGAAGAAGCCCCGGCUAACUUCGUG
rnacentral:rRNA from 1 species